rnacentral:sRNA from 1 species
AAAAGAAAGGAGAAGAAGGAAAAAAAGA